GGAACUCCCCAGCCCUGAAGAAGAGAGACAGCAACAACCACCAAUCCUCAGAGAACAAGAUUUAUUUCAUACACUCCACUGAAUCAUAAGCCCAUUCGAAAGCACCAUAACUUGCUGUCAGAAUUUUCAACUAGAAGAUUCAUUCCAACAAAUGAAACAUUUAUUUCAAAAGAAAACUUCAACAUUCCAGCCCCCAAAUAAAACUGCCAACAUUUCAAGUAAACUUGAUAUCCUUUGCCCUUAAUUCCACACAAAUUUUGAAAUGAUACUUAGACUACAAUUUUCAUUGCUCUUUGAUGCUUCCACCAUGCUAGCAAAUAGUGCACACUUAUUUAGCCAAUUUCAUAAAAUACAUUUUAUGCGUGAGCAAGUUAGAUAGGGGCAGGUGGGGGCUCAGGGGGAAGAAAAGCAUGCGAAAUUCCACACAAAAUCUAGGUUAUUUUUUCAACUAAAAAACUUCCAGCAAGCACGCCAAAAUAACCAUGCAUAGUCACCGUUGAUACAGUAAGGUUCUACUUGUACAGCUAAAUAGUAAACAAAUUAGGUAGAGUGUAGCAAGUCUCAACAGCUAUACAAAUGUAGGUUCAGACUGCUUGUAAAAUACUUGUAUACAAAUACAUCACCUUGAUGUCAAAACAGGAGAGAAAAAAAUGAAGAUCUGAUAAUUGUUUUACUAGGAUCAAAAGACUAUCUCAUCUCAUAUUUCUACUGUUGAAAUAGUCAAGUGAAGAAUCCCUAGCAAACUAGAGAAAACUUGAACCGAAGUAAAGACUUGUAUGCAUAGCAAAGUUAAUUGGCUUGUCAAAGGUGUGUUUAAUUAUCUCUAAGGUAAUGUUUGGUAUAAAUGAAUUCUACAAAUUUUGUGAAAUUCAUUUAUAAAUCUAAGAUUUUAGUGUUUGGUUUAAAUGAAAAUUCAUUUGAAAUUCUUAAUAAUCAAUUUCAUGGAAUUUAUUAUAAUUAAACCAAAUUCCAUCAAAAUUGAUAGAAUUUGCAAAUAAAUUCCAAACUUAAAAUCAUAUGUAUUUCAAGUGACA
rnacentral:misc_RNA from 1 species